rnacentral:piRNA from 1 species
GAUAAGUCUGUCUCUGGUGUCCAAC